rnacentral:lncRNA from 1 species
GUAGUUUUCGGGUUUGUCAACAAGCAUGCUGUGAGACAUGGUCAAUCAUGAUGGGAUUUGCCCCUCUCUGAUUGAGAGUGAUAUCUCAGAGCCCCUCGAGUGAUCGGAUCCAGAAAUGCAUGGCCAUGCUACGUACGGUUAAGAGUUAACCUACAAAGGGAUUCUGAAUCACAGGAUCGAGAAAGAGCGGUCGGCUUGGAGCUAGACCAAAUAUCGUGAGGCAAAGGGAAUAGCAUGUGCAUGAUGUUGUGACGGUUCAUCUGAUAUGAUCUUCGUG